rnacentral:rRNA from 1 species
UACGUAGGGUGCGAGCGUUGUCCGGAAUUACUGGGCGUAAAGAGCUCGUAGGUGGUUUGUCGCGUUGUUCGUGAAAACUCACAACUCAAUUGUGGGCGUGCGGGCGAUACGGGCAGACUGGAGUACUGCAGGGGAGACUGGAAUUCCUGGUGUAGCGGUGGAAUGCGCAGAUAUCAGGAGGAACACCAAUGGCGAAGGCGGCUAUCUGGACGGUUUCUGACGCUAAGACGCGAAAGCGUGGGGAGCAAACAGG